UACAGAGGGGGCGAGCGUUGUUCGGAAUUACUGGGCGUAAAGGGCGCGUAGGCGGCCAACUAAGUCAGACGUGAAAUCCCUCGGCUCAACCGGGGAACUGCGUCUGAUACUGGAUGGCUUGAAUUCGGGAGAGGGAUGCGGAAUUCCAGGUGUAGCGGUGAAAUCCGUAGAUAUCAGGUGGAAUAUCGGAGGCGAAGGCGGCCGACUGGUGAUGCAUUGACGCUGAGGUGCGAAAGCGUGGGGAGCAAACAGG
rnacentral:rRNA from 1 species